rnacentral:rRNA from 1 species
AAUCAACGCUGGCGGCGUGCCUCAGACAUGCAAGUCGAACGAUUAAAGCUCUCUUCGGAGAGUGUAUAGAGUGGCGCACGGGUGAGUAACACGUAAGUAAUCUACCUUCGAGUGGGGAAUAACGUUCGGAAACGGACGCUAAUACCGCAUAAUGCAGCGGCAUCGCAAGAUGACAGUUGUUAAAGAUUUAUCGCUUGAAGAGGAGCUUGCGGCAGAUUAGCUAGUUGGUAAGGUAAUGGCUUACCAAGGCUACGAUCUGUAUCCGGUCUAAGAGGACGGUCGGACACACUGACACUGAAUAACGGGUCAGACUCCUACGGGAGGCAGCAGGUCGGGAAUUUUGGGCAAUGGGCGAAAGCCUGACCAGCAACGCCGCGUGAAGGAUGAAGUAUUUACGG